AACGAACGCUGGCGGCAUGCCUAACACAUGCAAGUCGAACGAGACCUUCGGGUCUAGUGGCGCACGGGUGCGUAACGCGUGGGAAUCUGCCCUCUGGUUCGGAACAACAGUUGGAAACGACUGCUAAUACCGGAUAAUGACUUCGGUCCAAAGAUUUAUCGCCUGAGGAUGAGCCCGCGUAGGAUUAGCUUGUUGGUGAGGUAAAAGCUCACCAAGGCGACGAUCCUUAGCUGGUCUGAGAGGAUGAUCAGCCACACUGGGACUGAGACACGGCCCAGACUCCUACGGGAGGCAGCAGUGGGGAAUAUUGGACAAUGGGCGAAAGCCUGAUCCAGCAAUGCCGCGUGAGUGAUGAAGGCCUUAGGGUUGUAAAGCUCUUUUACCCGGGAUGAUAAUGACAGUACCGGGAGAAUAAGCCCCGGCUAACUCCGUGCCAGCCGCCGCGGUAAAAC
rnacentral:rRNA from 1 species